CGUUGAAACAUUUCAGUAGCUCGCUUUUCCGAACUUGUCAAAAGGAUUUUUCGUUUGUUGAUAAUUUUAAUAGCAUACCACUUGCCACUAUUCACUUCUACCGCUAGCUUGACAACUGCAAAUGUACCACUUCCAAGUGUACGAAUAAUUUCGUAAUGACUGUUCUCGGAUUUAAUCAUGUUUUUCUGGGAAUCUCGUGAAUGUUUAACUGGUACCUGGCACAAAAAAGCUAUAAGACUGUAAGCAAACUUGAAGUGAAUUCUACGUCAACAAUCUCCUUCAGUGUAAAGGACGUACAAAUUUCAUCUUUCGGCACACCUAGGCCAAUUCGAAUUUCAUCUCCGUUUGACAAGAUAGUUCUACUAUUCUUGGCAAGCCGUUCCUAAAUGACGUCAGUAAAUUGUAAACGAAUUAAGCUCUCGCUUACAAAAUUCAGAAAUGUUCCAUUAGAAGAGUGGUCUGAAAUUGUUAGAAAAGGUGGAAGAGGCAGAAGACUUUAAAAGAUUUUUUAAUCCUUUAGACUUACCGUGUAAAAAAACGACAUUCUCAGAUUCAUCGGAAUCAUUUCUAUGCCCCUGGGUCAUUUCGUUAGAUAAUUAUGUCUUAAAGAGAUUGAAGUUCAAUUAAAACUAAACGAGUUCAGCUGGCCACUAUUAUUUUAUAUACCUGAUAGAUUUCAAAAUGAAAGUUGCUAACUCUAGGUCCGUUUAAAACCACUUCACAAGAUUUAUGACGUCCAAAUCUCCAAAACCCAUUGUGCACAUCUGUAGUAAGAGGAAUCACUUCUGUCUUACCAUCAAGCAUGCGAGUCAUAACCAAUUUCAUAAAUACAUUUUCGUUGUUAACCACCUGUUUGGCUAUGUUCUGACUAACAUGUAGUGGUGCCUCUUGAGUAGCCUGCGUAGCUUCUUCUGGUUCUUCCAUAGUAUCUUAAAAACAGAAAAACUGGAUGAAUUCUUUAACCAUG